AGGACGAACGCUGGCGGCGUGCUUAACACAUGCAAGUCAAGGGGGCCUAGCAAUAGGCAACCGGCGAACGGGUGCGUAACACGUGAGCAACCUGCCGAUUUGUGGGGGAUAGCCGGCCCAACGGCCGGGUAAUACCGCAUACGAUCUUUUGGGGGAGUCCCUGGGAGAUGAAACUUUCGAGGCAGAUCGAGGGGCUCGCGGCCUAUCAGCUAGUUGGCGGGGUAAUGGCCCACCAAGGCAUCGACGGGUAGC
rnacentral:rRNA from 1 species